rnacentral:misc_RNA from 1 species
UCCGAGUUGGCCCCGGCAGUCUCCUACGAGUCCCCGGCAUUACCCGCUGGCAACAUAGGACAAGGGUUGCGCUCGUUGCGGGACUUAACCCAACAUCUCACGACACGAGCUGACGACAACCAUGCACCACCUGUAAACCGACCGCAAGCGGGGCACCUGUUUCCAGGUCUUUCCGGUUCAUGUCAAGCCUUGGUAAGGUUCUUCGCGUUGCAUCGAAUUAAGUCGCAUGCUCCGCCGCUUGUGCGGGGACCCGUCAAUUCCUUUGAGUUUUAGCCUUGCGGCCGUACUCCCCAGGCGGGAUACUUAAUGCGUUAGCUUCAGCACGGCAGUCAUUGGUAAGACCGCCACACCUAGUAUCCAACGUUUACGGCGUGGACUAC